rnacentral:rRNA from 1 species
GCAAGAGCUCAGAUUUGAAAUCGUGCUUUGCGGCACGAGUUGUAGAUUGCAGGUUGGAGUCUGUGUGGAAGGCGGUGUCCAAGUCCCUUGGAACAGGGCGCCCAGGAGGGUGAGAGCCCCGUGGGAUGCCGGCGGAAGCAGUGAGGCCCUUCUGACGAGUCGAGUUGUUUGGGAAUGCAGCUCCAAGCGGGUGGUAAAUUCCAUCUAAGGCUAAAUACUGGCGAGAGACCGAUAGCGAACAAGUACUGUGAAGGAAAGAUGAAAAGCACUUUGAAAAGAGAGUGAAACAGCACGUGAAAUUGUUGAAAGGGAAGGGUAUUGCGCCCGACAUGGGGAUUGCGCACCGCUGCCUCUCGUGGGCGGCGCUCUGGGCUUUCCCUGGGCCAGCAUCGGUUCUUGCUGCAGGAGAAGGGGUUCUGGAACGUGGCUCUUCGGAGUGUUAUAGCCAGGGCCAGAUGCUGCGUGCGGGGACCGAGGACUGCGGCCGUGUAGGUCACGGAUGCUGGCAGAACGGCGCAACAC